rnacentral:rRNA from 1 species
GGGCCCGCACAAGCGGUGGAGCAUGUGGUUUAAUUCGAUGAUACGCGAGGAACCUUACCAGGACUUAAAUGUAAGUUGCAUGAUUCAGAAAUGAAUCUUUCUUCGGACUACUUACAAGGUGCUGCAUGGUUGUCGUCAGCUCGUGCCGUGAGGUGUCAGGUUAAGUCCUAUAACGAGCGCAACCCCUAUCGUUAGUUGCCAUCAAGUAAAGUUGGGAACUCUAGCGAAACUGCCGGUGCAAACCGUGAGGAAGGUGGGGAUGACGUCAAAUCAUCACGGCCCUUACGUUCUGGGCUACACACGUGCUACAAUGGUCGGUACAGAAAGCAGCCACUAUGCGAAUAGGAGCUAAUCUUUAAAACCGAUCUCAGUUCGGAUUGGAGUCUGCAACUCGACUCCAUGAAGUUGGAAUCGCUAGUAAUCGC